GUUGGGUAGGGGAGCGUUCUGUAAGCCUGUGAAGGUGGCCUGUGAGGGUUGCUGGAGGUAUCAGAAGUGCGAAUGCUGACAUAAGUAACGAUAAAGCGGGUGAAAAGCCCGCUCGCCGGAAGACCAAGGGUUCCUGUCCAACGUUAAUCGGGGCAGGGUGAGUCGACCCCUAAGGCGAGGCCGAAAGGCGUAGUCGAUGGGAAACGGGUUAAUAUUCCCGUACUUGGUGUUACUGCGAAGGGGGGACGGAGAAGGCUAUGUUGGCCGGGCGACGGUUGUCCCGGUUUAAGCGUGUAGGUGUGUGUUCCAGGUAAAUCCGGUUCACUUUAACACUGAGGCGUGACGACGAGGCACUACGGUGCUGAAGCAACAAAUGCCCUGCUUCCAGGAAAAGCCUCUAAGCAUCAGGUAACAUCAAAUCGUACCCCAAACCGACACAGGUGGUCAGGUAGAGAAUACCAAGGCGCUUGAGAGAACUCGGGUGAAGGAACUAGGCAAAAUGGUGCCGUAACUUCGGGAGAAGGCACGCUGAUAUGUAGGUGAAGCGGUUUACCCGUGGAGCUGAAAUCAGUCGAAGAUACCAGCUGGCUGCAACUGUUUAUUAAAAACACAGCACUGUGCAAACACGAAAGUGGACGUAUACGGUGUGACGCCUGCCCGGUGCCGGAAGGUUAAUUGAUGGGGUCAGCGCAAGCGAAGCUCCUGAUCGAAGCCCCGGUAAACGGCGGCCGUAACUAUAACGGUCCUAAGGUAGCGAAAUUCCUUGUCGGGUAAGUUCCGACCUGCACGAAUGGCGUAAUGAUGGCCAGGCUGUCUCCACCCGAGACUCAGUGAAAUUGAACUCGCUGUGAAGAUGCAGUGUACCCGCGGCAAGACGGAAAGACCCCGUGAACCUUUACUAUAGCUUGACACUGAACAUUGAGCCUUGAUGUGUAGGAUAGGUGGGAGGCUUUGAAGUGUGGACGCCAGUCUGCAUGGAGCCGACCUUGAAAUACCACCCUUUAAUGUUUGAUGUUCUAACGUGGACCCGUAAUCCGGGUUGCGGACAGUGUCUGGUGGGUAGUUUGACUGGGGCGGUCUCCUCCUAAAGAGUAACGGAGGA
rnacentral:rRNA from 1 species